AAAUCCCCAAAUUCUCAGAUGGAAGUGACACUGUAUUGUAGUUUUUUCUCUUAGUGCUGUCAUCUUCUGCUUCUAUAUAUGGUAACACUCCAUCAUCAUGACCACUCUGAAAUCACAAAAGAAAACCCAUCAGAAAAGGAAAAAUAAAAUAAAAUUCAGAAUUUAUACAAAAGUAGAAAAAAUCUAUCCACAUCUAUAAAGCUUGACUAUUUAUAUCUCAACUAGAUCAGAUAUGAUAUUACGUAAACAGAGGAAAUUAAUGUCACUAAUAAACAUUAGUUCUUGAUUAACCUUAACUUGAUAUUUCUUGAUUAGAGAGAACAACAAACAAACCUUAGAGAAACCAAAAGGAGGAAGCGAGGAGUCGAGGAAGUCCUCUACGUGCCAACCAGGUAAGGUAUCGAUUAAGUACUCUGAAACCGUGCUUGUAGAGCCCCACUGACUCACCUCUGAGUCGCCACCGAUCUUUGAAGAAAGUUGGAUCUUGGAGGUGUUGCUCUGAGGAGCUGAGAGAGGUUUCUUGGAAGGGACAGAGCAGUCUUGACUACUAGAGGAAGAAGAUCCUGAAGUUGGUUUGUAAACAGAAGAUGUAGCAGAGAGCUUAACCCCUGUGAGAAGAAACCUAUCGUGUUUCUUCUUGUGCUCGUUGGCAGAGUGUAUCGAUGUAUCACAAUCUUUGCAUAAGAUAGCCCUAUCUUGCUGACAAAACAACAAAGCUUUUUUCUCCUACAAUUUACAAAAAAAAUGACUUCAGAUUAUUAUGAUCGUUAGACCAAAACCAGUGUCCUUAAAAUCUUGACAAGAAGUUGAGAGAGACCUGACAGAUGUCGCAGACAGGAGAGGAGUUGUUGGAGGAAGAUGGGUAUAGGAGAGAGAAACGGAGAUGUUUGGAGGCAAGCUUGU
rnacentral:lncRNA from 1 species